rnacentral:rRNA from 1 species
UGAACGCUGGCGGCAUGCCUUACACAUGCAAGUCGAACGGCAGCACGGGUGCUUGCACCUGGUGGCGGGUGGCGAACGGGUGAGUAAUACAUCGGAACAUGUCCUGUAGUGGGGGAUAGCCCGGCGAAAGCCGGAUUAAUACCGCAUACGAUCUACGGAUGAAAGCGGGGGACCUUCGGGCCUCGCGCUAUAGGGUUGGCCGAUGGCUGAUUAGCUAGUUGGUGGGGUAAAGGCCUACCAAGGCGACGAUCAGUAGCUGGUCUGAGAGGACGACCAGCCACACUGGGACUGAGACACGGCCCAGACUCCUACGGGAGGCAGCAGUGGGGAAUUUUGGACAAUGGGCGAAAGCCUGAUCCAGCAAUGCCGCGUGUGUGAAGAAGGCCUUCGGGUUGUAAAGCACUUUUGUCCGGAAAGAAAUCCUUGGCUCUAAUACAGUCGGGGGAUGACGGUACCGGAAGAAUAAGCACCGGCUAACUACGUGCCAGCAGCCGCGGUAAUACGUAGGGUGCGAGCGUUAAUCGGAAUUACUGGGCGUAAAGCGUGCGCAGGCGGUUUGCUAAGACCGAUGUGAAAUCCCCGGGCUCAACCUGGGAACUGCAUUGGUGACUGGCAGGCUAGAGUAUGGCAGAGGGGGGUAGAAUUCCACGUGUAGCAGUGAAAUGCGUAGAGAUGUGGAGGAAUACCGAUGGCGAAGGCAGCCCCCUGGGCCAAUACUGACGCUCAUGCACGAAAGCGUGGGGGAGCAAACAGGAUUAGAUACCCUGGUAGUCCACGCCCUAAACGAUGUCAACUAGUUGUUGGGGAUUCAUUUCCUUAGUAACGUAGCUAACGCGUGAAGUUGACCGCCUGGGGAGUACGGUCGCAAGAUUAAAACUCAAAGGAAUUGACGGGGACCCGCACAAGCGGUGGAUGAUGUGGAUUAAUUCGAUGCAACGCGAAAAACCUUACCUACCCUUGACAUGGUCGGAAUCCCGCUGAGAGGUGGGAGUGCUCGAAAGAGAACCGGCGCACAGGUGCUGCAUGGCUGUCGUCAGCUCGUGUCGUGAGAUGUUGGGUUAAGUCCCGCAACGAGCGCAACCCUUGUCCUUAGUUGCUACGCAAGAGCACUCUAAGGAGACUGCCGGUGACAAACCGGAGGAAGGUGGGGAUGACGUCAAGUCCUCAUGGCCCUUAUGGGUAGGGCUUCACACGUCAUACAAUGGUCGGAACAGAGGGUUGCCAACCCGCGAGGGGGAGCUAAUCCCAGAAAACCGAUCGUAGUCCGGAUUGCACUCUGCAACUCGAGUGCAUGAAGCUGGAAUCGCUAGUAAUCGCGGAUCAGCAUGCCGCGGUGAAUACGUUCCCGGGUCUUGUACACACCGC